UACGUAGGGUGCAGGCGUUAAUCGGAAUUACUGGGCGUAAAGCGUGCGCAGGCGGUUUGCUAAGACAGGUGUGAAAUCCCCGGGCUUAACCUGGGAACUGCGCUUGUAACUGGCAAGCUUGAGUGUGGCAGAGGGGGGUGGAAUUCCACGUGUAGCAGUGAAAUGCGUAGAGAUCGAGAGGAACACCAGUGGCGAAGGCGAGUUCCUGGACAAGUCCUGACGCUGAGGCACGAAAGCCAGGGGAGCAAACAGG
rnacentral:rRNA from 1 species